rnacentral:rRNA from 1 species
GCGAGAAAACUUUGCAAUGUGCGAAAGCACGACAAGGUUAAUCCGAGUGGUUUCUGCUAAAGAAACCUUUUGUCAGUCCUAGAAACACUAACGAAUAAGGGGUGGGCAAGUUCUGGUGUCAGCCGCCGCGGUAAAACCAGCACCUCAAGUGGUCAGGAUGAUUAUUGGGCCUAAAGCAUCCGUAGCCCGUUUUGUAAGUUUUCGGUUAAAUCCAUGCGCUUAACGUAUGGGCUGCCGGGAAUACUGCAUAACUAGGAAGUGGGAGAGGUAGACGGUACUCGGUAGGAAUGGGUAAAAUCCUUUGAUCUAUUGAUGACCACCUGUGGCGAAGGCGGUCUACCAGAACACGUUCGACGGUGAGGGAUGAAAGCUGGGGGAGCAAACCGGAUUAGAUACCCAUGUAGUCCCUGAGCGGGCUGGCAAGGCGCAU